rnacentral:rRNA from 1 species
GCCUAACACAUGCAAGUCGAACGGAGUUACUUGUUUAGAUCCCUUCGGGGUGACGAACUUUUAACUUAGUGGCGGACGGGUGAGUAACGCGUGAGUAACCUGCCUCUGAGAGGGGAAUAACGUUCUGAAAAGAUCGCUAAUACCGCAUAACAUAUCGAAGUCGCAUGGCUUUGAUAUCAAAGAUUUUUAUCGCUCGGAGAUGGACUCGCGUCCGAUUAGCUAGUUGGCGGGGUAACGGCCCACCAUGGCGACGAUCAGUAGCCGGUCUGAGAGGAUGAACGGCCACAUUGGGACUGAGAUACGGCCCAGACUCCUACGGGAGGCAGCAGUGGGGAAUAUUGGGCAAUGGGGGAAACCCUGACCCAGCAACGCCGCGUGAGGGAAGACGGUCUUCGGAUUGUAAACCUAAGUUAUCAGGGACGAUUAUGACGGUACCUGAAGAGAAAGCUCCGGCUAACUACGUG